rnacentral:rRNA from 1 species
CCUACGGGAGGCAGCAGUAGGGAAUCUUUCACAAUGGGCGAAAGCCUGAUGGAGCAACGCCGCGUGCAGGAUGAAGGCCUUCGGGUUGUAAACUGCUUUUAUAAGCGAGAAAUAUGAUGGUAACUUAUGAAUAAGGAUCGGCUAACUACGUGCCAGCAGCCGCGGUCAUACGUAGGAUCCGAGCAUUAUCCGGAGUGACUGGGUGUAAAGAGUUGCGUAGGUGGCAUAAUAAGUAGCUAGUGAAAUCUGGUGGCUCAACCAUUCAGACUAUUAGCUAAACUGUUAAGCUCGAGACCGUUAGGGGUAACUGGAAUUGCUGGUGUAGGAGUGAAAUCCGUAGAUAUUAGAAGGAACACCAAUAGCGUAGGCAGGUUGCUGGGACGGUUCUGACACUAAGGCACGAAAGCGUAGGGAGCAAACGGGAUUAGAUACCCCAGUAGUC